GCCGCCUUAGCUCAGCGGUAGAGCAACUGAUUCGUAAUCAGUAGGUCCCCGGUUCAAUCCCGGGAGGCGGCACCA
rnacentral:tRNA from 1 species